UGGGGAAUUUUGGACAAUGGGCGCAAGCCUGAUCCAGCAAUGCCGCGUGCAGGAUGAAGGCCUUCGGGUUGUAAACUGCUUUUGUACGGAACGAAAAGACUCCUUCUAAUAAAGGGGGUCCAUGACGGUACCGUAAGAAUAAGCACCGGCUAACUACGUGCCAGCAGCCGCGGUAAUACGUAGGGUGCGAGCGUUAAUCGGAAUUACUGGGCGUAAAGCGUGCGCAGGCGGUUAUGUAAGACAGAUGUGAAAUCCCCGGGCUUAACCUGGGAACUGCAUUUGUGACUGUAUAGCUAGAGUACGGCAGAGGGGGAUGGAAUUCCCGGUGUAGAGGUGAAAUUCGUAGAUAUCGGGAGGAACACCAGUGGCGAAGGCGGCGAUCUGGGUCGAUACUGACGCUGAGGUGCGAAAGCGUGGGGAGCAAACA
rnacentral:rRNA from 1 species